GACGAAGGGGGCUAGCGUUGUUCGGAAUUACUGGGCGUAAAGGGCGCGUAGGCGGCCUGUUAAGUCGAACGUGAAAUCCCCGGGCUCAACCCGGGAACUGCGUCCGAUACUGGCAGGCUUGAAUCCGGGAGAGGGAUGCGGAAUUCCAGGUGUAGCGGUGAAAUGCGUAGAUAUCUGGAGGAACACCGGUGGCGAAGGCGGCAUCCUGGACCGGCAUUGACGCUGAGGCGCGAAAGCUAGGGGAGCAAA
rnacentral:rRNA from 1 species